rnacentral:lncRNA from 1 species
UGCUUUUAAAUUUGCAUUUAUUAUUUAGUUAAUUAUUAUGCAUUCGUAACAUAAGUUUAAAUCAUAAUCAACGUACAGUACGUCCUAAUAUAAUAAGCAAACAAGAAUACAGUCAUAUAUCUAUUCCUUCCACGAUGACGUCAUGACAGAAAAGCUGCGCAGUAGGCUAUUUUCGAUUGGAGCCAACCUUAUAUAUAAUAACCUUGAUUUUAAGGACAACAUAAUGCAGAUUUGGAAAAUUUCUCUAGAAAUGUUAUAUUCUGUAAUUGAGCACACUUGCAAAUGCAGUUUCUGGCCCAAAACAAUGGCUAUCGCAUCAAAAGUCAACUUCAGCAUCAUUGACAUAUUUGAAUAUUUUGAAUAAAUGAUAAAUGAAUUUGAAGUUAUGAAAUCAUUUCCUAUAAUAAUUUAAGUUUCUUUCUGUUUUUGCAAAGGACAAAAAUAGCUGAAGAAGAGAGUUGCAUGAUACAAGGCAAUAUUUAGUGAAUUAAAUUAAACAGAGGCAACAUUUCCUUAUGCAUGACACCAUAUAAGGUUUAUGAUGCCUUAUAUGAUGGUCUUAUGUAUUAUUCU